rnacentral:tRNA from 2 species
GGGAACGUUCGAUUUUCAAAUUGCGAAGAACUCGACGAGUAACGUUAGCUUCCGGACAGCACCGCAGGGGGUUCAACUCCCCCCGUUCCCACCA